CUACGUGCCAGCAGCCGCGGUAAUACGGAAGGUCCGGGCGUUAUCCGGAUUUAUUGGGUUUAAAGGGAGCGUAGGCCGGAGAUUAAGUGUGUUGUGAAAUGUAGACGCUCAACGUCUGACUUGCAGCGCAUACUGGUUUCCUUGAGUACGCACAACGUUGGCGGAAUUCGUCGUGUAGCGGUGAAAUGCUUAGAUAUGACGAAGAACUCCGAUUGCGAAGGCAGCUGACGGGAGCGCAACUGACGCUGAAGCUCGAAGGUGCGGGUAUCGAACAGGAUUAGAUACCCUGGUAGUCCGCACAGUAAACGAUGGAUGCCCGCUGUUGGUACCUGGUAUCAGCGGCUAAGCGAAAGCAUUAAGCAUCCCACCUGGGGAGUACGCCGGCAACGGUGAAACUCAAAGGAAUUGACGGGGGCCCGCACAAGCGGUGGAGUAUGUGGUUUAAUUCGACGCAACGCGAAGAACCUUACCAGGUCU
rnacentral:rRNA from 1 species